rnacentral:rRNA from 1 species
CAGUCGCCGCGGGAAUACGAAGGGUGCAAGCGUUAAUCGGAAUUACUGGGCGUAAAGCGUGCGUAGGCGGUGAGUUAAGUCUGCUGUGAAAUCCCCGGGCUCAACCUGGGAAUGGCAGUGGAUACUGGCAAGCUAGAGUGUGUCAGAGGAUGGUGGAAUUCCCGGUGUAGCGGUGAAAUGCGUAGAGAUCGGGAGGAACAUCAGUGGCGAAGGCGGCCAUCUGGGACAACACUGACGCUGAGGCACGAAAGCGUGGGGAGCAAACAGGAUUAGAUACCCCAGUAGUCCCUGUCUCUUAUAC